rnacentral:rRNA from 1 species
AAACCAACAGGGAUUGCCUCAGUAACGGCGAGUGAAGCGGCAAAAGCUCAAAUUUGAAAUCUAGCACUUUCAGUGUUCGAGUUGUAAUUUGAAGAAGGUAACUUUGGUUUUGGCUCUUGUCUAUGUUCCUUGGAACAGGACGUCACAGAGGGUGAGAAUCCCGUGCGAUGAGAUGCCCAAUUCCAUGUAAAGUGCUUUCGAAGAGUCGAGUUGUUUGGGAAUGCAGCUCUAAGUGGGUGGUAAAUUCCAUCUAAAGCUAAAUAUUGGCGAGAGACCGAUAGCGAACAAGUACAGUGAUGGAAAGAUGAAAAGAACUUUGAAAAGAGAGUGAAAAAGUACGUGAAAUUGUUGAAAGGGAAGGGCUUGAGAUCAGACUUGGUAUUUUGCGUUCCCUUCCUUUUUGGUUGGGUUCCUCGCAGUUUACUGGGCCAGCAUCGGUUUGGAUGGUAGGAUAAUGACAUUGGAAUGUAGCUUUACUUCGGUGAAGUGUUAUAGACUUUGUUGAUACUGCCUAUCUAGACCGAGGACUGCGU